rnacentral:lncRNA from 1 species
UCUCUACGAUACCACUGUAUGCUAAAUGAAAAUAUACAAGCACGAAUAAAGAAGAUGCAGACAUCACGAAGAUGGGAUAAUUCUUUUUCAUUUAUUUUCAUUCAAAUAUUUACAAGGAGAUAGUGCUUGUAGUGCCCAAAAAAAAGAAAAAAGGAAGAUGAAAAGAAGAGAUGAGGAAGCUCAGUCCUCAUCUGAUGAAAAGACCCCUUCCUCCUCGUAGCUGUUUCUGAGCUGAAGAAAUUGGAGCUCCAGAUAUGGCAUCAUCUGCAGCAAACGGGCC